UACGAAGGGGGCAAGCGUUGUUCGGAAUUACUGGGCGUAAAGGGCGCGCAGGCGGCCUGCCAAGUCAGAUGUGAAAGCCCCGGGCUCAACCUGGGAAUAGCAUUUGGGACUGCAUAGCUAGAGUACGGUAGAGGGGGAUGGAAUUCCGCGUGUAGCAGUGAAAUGCGUAGAUAUGCGGAGGAACACCGAUGGCGAAGGCAAUCCCCUGGACCUGUACUGACGCUCAUGCACGAAAGCGUGGGGAGCAAACAGG
rnacentral:rRNA from 1 species